rnacentral:lncRNA from 1 species
UAGAGGCCUCCCUUCCGAGGAGGCGGUGCUGGGGCGGGCGCAGGACUGCAGGCUGGGGCUCCGCUCCCCGGCGGGAGCCCGCGCGUGGUUCCCAGCGAAGUCCCCGCGCGGCUGGGCCCAGCGUGAGUAUUCUCCGCCCGCUGUCCUCCCCCUGGAGGCGGCAGCGCCCGUUUAUUUGAGGAGGAUGAGGCUGUCACUACUACAGUUGGGACUGUUUCAUACUCCGUGCUCUUGUGCUAUGCCAGGGGGUACUGUCUAACCCACAAGUCUCUGCCAGGAAUGUUGCUGUCCACACUGGAGUGUAAGACACCUGCGGAGCUCGUCUAUGGGGCUCAUGUUGGCUGAGGCUCUGAACUACAGAACUGCAAACAACCAAGGGAGCGCCCCAGGCCCCAGGCUUCUAAUGUGAGGAAAAACACGGAAUGACAAGUGUGGGAAAGAGCAAGCACUAAAUUACUGUCAGAAAAAUAAACGGAGUAGCACAGUGCUGCUCGGUGAUUUACGGGGGCAAUUAGUCACCACCCCACGGCGCUGCUGAGGACAGCACGGCAGCAGACAAGUCAGGCCCAUGAGGAAGAAGAGGCUUUGCACUGCUCUCCAGACAACUUUUCAAACAACAAGAGAGGAUAUUUGAGCACAUUAGGUUUUGUGUCUUCAUUCUGGCCGUGUGAAGAUGUGCCUGCUUCGCCUUCCAUCAUGACUGAAGUUUCCUGAGGCCUCCCCAGCUAUGCUCCCUAUACAGCCUGCAGAACGGUCGGCUGCCUCCAAUCCUGAGGUCAUCACUCAUCAAGAGGGGAUAAUCCCAGGGACAGCAGGAUCUGCUUCGUUACUUGGAUUUAGGAGCCAGAAACCCAUCAGGCAACUAAACAGUAACAAUGACCCGCCAUUAAACACACUGAGAGAAGAGCAUGAUGAAGAGUUUGUACAAGAAGAAGCCAGGAGCACUUGCUGACAAUGCUUACAGAGACGCAGGCUUCUAUGAGCUCUGCCUGUUGAACUGCAGUAAAAAUAGAUCUCCUUCCCCAGAGAGGCUUGGAUGUGGGCACAAUAUCAGUUCAGACGAUGGUCAAUGCAUGUACUUAAUAGAGUGAAAAGACUUUGGACUGUGAAGUCAGAUUACCUGGGUCUGAAUUGUUAUUCUUCUACUUCUUUGUAGUAUGCUUUCACCACAUUAAAAAUUGUCUGAGCCUCAAUUUUUUUAUCUGCAAAAUGGAGCUAAUACCUACACAGGGGCUUUUAAGAGAAUCAAAUGCAACAAUGUUUGAAAAGCAACAUACUCCCCUUUAUGGAAAAAGAGCCUGUAAAGGAACCAAUACAAUGGCUGGGCGUGGUGAC